rfam:Acremonium chrysogenum ATCC 11550 scaffold543 mitochondrial, whole genome shotgun sequence.
CAUAAGUAUACAAAGAAAUUAUUAUGGAAUUUUAGCUGUAUAUUAAAGAGAAGAUGUAUAACUAUAAUAUUACAUAUUAUAAGUUAUAUAAACUCUAAGAGAAAUUAAAUUUUAAACUAAGCAAAUUGAAAUAUCUCAGUAGCUUAAGGAAAAGAAAUCAAAAGAGAUUCUAAAAAUAGCGUGAGUGAAAUUAGAAAAGUCUGAAAGUAAAAUUGUAUAUAAACUGUUUGAACUAUAUGGGGAACCUUCCUCAAAGACUAAAUAUAAUAUACAAGCGAUAGUGAAAACGUACCAUGAGGGAAAAUUAGAAAAAUAGUAAUUUUAUAAGCAGUUCGAUGUAUAAACUAUAGAACGUACCUUUUGCAUAAUGGGUCACCAAGUUAACAUUAGAUGCGAGAAAAUGCGUAGUUAAACCGGACGUUAAAAUAACGAUAAGAGUAUCUAAAGUUAGACCCGAAGCCUGGUGAUUUUACCAUAAUCAGGAUUAUAAAAGUCCGAACGGUUUAUUGUUGCAAAAAUAUCCGAAGAAUUAUGGUAGGUAUAGUGAAAGACAAAACUGACCAGGAUAGCUGGUUUUCUGCGAAACCUAUAAUAGUAGGCAAUUCAAGAAAAUAUCUUAGCAGGUACAGAACUUAAUCUCAGACAAGACAAAUAUUGUCAUAUUUUGUACAUAUUGGGGGAUCGUGAAGAUUUUACCAGUGAGUAUGCAGACUCGGAAUGGCAAAGAUAAAACUUGAAUGAUCAGACAUAGAAUGAUAAGGUUGUAUGUCAAAAGGGAAACAGCCCAGAACAAGAGUUAAGGUUCCUAAAUUAUUAGUUAAGUGAAAUGAAGAAUGUAUUUAUUAAAGUCGACAAGGAGAUAGGCUUAGAAGCAGCCAUAAUUUUAUGAUCUCGUAACAGAGCACUUGUUAAGGUAUAAAUAGCAUCGAUAAUUUAACGGAUCUAAACAAUAUACCGAAACCUUGUCCAUCUUAUAUUAUAAAGAGAAUUCUUUUUAUAAUUUAAUGGGGUAGCAGAACGUUGAAUUAAGUUAUGACUUUUAUUUUUCAAAUAAAAUUAUAAUUAUUUAAUUCAAGUGAGAAUGGUGACAUGAGUAACUAAAAGAAAAAAAAAAUUUUUUCCGCCUAAAGCUUAUGGAUAGAUUUAAGUACGGCCUCUAAGUUUUACAAUCUAAAGAUUGAAACGAUGAGAAAAUCUUAUAUUAUUAAUGACAACAUUUUAGUGGAAAAUGUGCUGGAAAAAUAAUAAUAUAUUAUUUGUUUUUAACAAAUAAAAAUUAACCGUACCUAGAAACUGAUACAAGUAAGCAAGUAGAGAAUACGAAGGCGCGUGAGCUAACAAUCAUAAAGGAACUCGGCAAAUUGACUACUGUAACUUCGGAAUAAGGAGGGCUCAUAAUUCUUGAUUAAUAUCAAGUAAAAGGGAAGAAGCAUGAAAUAAUGUUGUACGACUGUUUAAUUAAAACACAGCACUUUGCUGAAAGAUAAAAAAAUCUAAGUAUAAAGUGUGAAAUCUGCCCGGUGCCGGCUGGUUAAUCGAGAUAAUUGAAUGAUUUAACAUUUGAUGUUGACAGAACCCCCGGUUAAAGGCGGCCUUAACGUGAGGGUCCUAAGGUAGCGAAAUGCCUUGGCCGUUAAAUGCGGUCUUGCAUGAAUGGUGUAACGAUACAACAGCUGUCUCUAUGAUUGACUCAGUGAAAUUGGAAUAGCUGUGCAGAUACAGCUUACCUCUAGUUAGACGAGAAGACCCUAUGCAGCUUUACUGUCACUAAUUAUAGAGUAUGAUAAACAUCUUUCAGGCUAGAAGGUAGUAGAUAGAUAUAACAAUGAGAACCCUUCAAUUGUUUUUCAUAUGAAUGAGACGGUUUAAAAAUAAUUUAUUAAGAUAGGGGAUUUAACCUCUUUCAAAAUAAAUAGUUUUUAAAUUCACCUAGUCUCUGCCUAUUUUAGGUGACCUUAGUGGAGGAACUAUUACUAGGAGACAGUUUAUGUGGGGCACAGACCCUGUAAAGAGUAAACAGGAGUGUCUAAUAAUUUCAAAUUUUGUUUGUAAUUUUAAAUAGUUUUACUAUUUUUUAUCGUAUUAACUUAUUUAUAUAUACACAUUUGUUAUUCAAAUAAUAAAUUGUUGUGUAUAUAUUUAAAAAAAAUAGGAAGGUAGGAUUUUCACUAGGUAGAAGUUAGUGAUAAUUGAGAAGAUUAUGAAUUUUCAUUCUAAUCUUUUUUAGCUAUUAAUUAAUUAAUAGUAAUGUGUGAUAUUUACAAAGCUCAACGGCUAAAUCCUGCCUUACUGUUUGAUUAUCUACAAAUCUUACAGUUGCGUAAGCAGGGCAUAGGAUCACAAGAUACAAUAAGGAAAGAUCUUGGAUUAUUGGAAAAGCUACGCUAGGGAUGUUUGUCCUUUAAUAUUUUAUUUGAGCUAAGAGCUCUUAAAAU